rnacentral:rRNA from 1 species
GACGAACGCUGGCGGCGUGCUUAACACAUGCAAGUCGAACGGAAAGGCCCUGCUUUUGUGGGGUGCUCGAGUGGCGAACGGGUGAGUAACACGUGAGUAACCUGCCCUUGACUUUGGGAUAACUUCAGGAAACUGGGGCUAAUACCGGAUAGGAGCACCUGCUGCUUGGUGGGGGUUGGAAAGUUUCGGCGGUUGGGGAUGGACUCGCGGCUUAUCAGCUUGUUGGGGGGGUAGUGGCUUACCAAGGCUUUGACGGGUAGCCGGCCUGAGAGGGUGACCGGCCACAUUGGGACUGAGAUACGGCCCAGACUCCUACGGGAGGCAGCAGUGGGGAAUAUUGCACAAUGGGCGGAAGCCUGAUGCAGCAACGCCGCGUGCGGGAUGACGGCCUUCGGGUUGUAAACCGCUUUCGCCUGUGACGAAGCGUGAGUGACGGUAAUGGGUAAAGAAGCACCGGCUAACUACGUG